rnacentral:rRNA from 1 species
CCCUUAGAUGUUCUGGGCCACACGCGCGCUACACUGACUGGUGCAACAAGUGUCGCUCCUUGGCCGAUAGGCCUGGGCAAUCUUUGAACGCCAGUCGUGAUGGGGAUAGAUUCUUGCAAUUUUUGAUCUUCAACGAGGAAUUCCUAGUAAACGCGAGUCAUCAACUCGCAUUGAUUACGUCCCUGCCCUUUGUACACACCGCCCGUCGCACCUACCGAUUGAAUGGUCCGGUGAACCCUCCGGAUCGGCCCGCGCCAACGCAAGUUGAGCAAAGGCCGAGAAGUUGGGUAAACCUUACCAUUUAGAGGAAGGUGAAGUCGUAACA